rnacentral:rRNA from 1 species
GCGGCCACCUCACACACACCGCGCGUACGUAGUCUACUUUUUUCACACUCGCUCCCCACCUGUCGUCGCUUCUUCCUCACCCGACGCCACUUUUGGAUCGGGGGCUAGGAAGGCGGGAGGGAACUUAGAAGAGGGGCGGGGCGUCGGCGGAGGGGCUCGAGAGAGGUUAGAGAGUAGAGGAGGGAAGGAGGAGCAGGUGCAUGCGCGAGCGGAGGCCGGUGGAGGCGCCGGUCGGGAGGAGAUAGAAGAAGAAGAGAGGUAGAGGUAGAGGAAGAGGAUAGGUAGAGGUAGAGGGAGAGGAGAGGAGAGAGGAGGUGCACGGGUUGUGGGCGCGCGAACGGAGGACGUGGUUGGCGUCGGCGAGGUAGCCCCGAGUCGGCCGCGCCCAACGGUACCCCUUCCUCGUUACACCGCGUGUGAAGUACUCCACAUCCUCUUCUGUACCCACUCGAGGUCGCGGUCCACUCCUUCCUCCCCAAAUGCCCGGCCUAGACCGCCCACUAUCCAACCUCGAGCUCGAGCUCUGACUCUGUCCCUUCCACUCCUCCUCCGCUCCCUCUCCGCUUCUACCGUCGCACCUACUUUCCUCUCUUCUCCAGCCACUGCGUCUACUUCCGCUCCUCGUCGGCCACCGUACCUAGUUCCCCCUCUCGUGGCAGCAGCAGCCACUACGUGUAUACCCUUUCUCCCUCCACUCUCGCGGCUAGGUCCUCCGCCGAACCGAGCCGGGUCGGUACCUCGACCGUAACCUCUGAGGGGCGACUGGAGGAACCGUUCUCUACAACACGGAUACAAGGACUUAAACAGAAACAUCACCAGCCCACGACGGUGUUUUGCACACUGAUAUCAUUCUACGUCAAGAGCUGUUAGCGAUAAUCUAGACUCUCUCUUCUCCUUGUCUUCCCGUGCCACCUUCUUAAACCACUUCUUGUUCUACCGAGCCUACGUAAGAAUAUACGAUGUAGGAGUACCAUAAGGAGUUAGAAAUCGGAACGGGUUGAGACCAGAAGGAGCCAAACCAUGAAGAGUCGGAUGUUAGGUUGGAUGGAAUGUGACCGGACUACUCAUCCGUUAAAUAAUAUGAGUGUUCGUGUAGUAAAUAACAUAGUAGGUCCAUCUCUACCGUAUAACCUCGUUCGUAGUACAGUCCAAAUCCCGUAUGUUUUGGAAAUCAUACAUCUUUAAAGCGGGGUAUCAAUGACAUGUGGCCGACCUCUCUUUAAUAACCUGUCUACGGGGUUAAUAUUCUUUCUUAUUAAAGUAUUUAGUCUCCCUCUAUACGAGAGUAUUUAACGAGUGGCAAACUUCCAAAUUAUGUAUAGCAGGACUACUUCGGCAAAAAGACAAACAUCAAAGGAUAUAGUUGUUGAGGGAUAUAAUGGGGCUUUACCUAAUAACGAAUAAAUAAAAAAGAAUAAGUGUGUAAAUAAAUCAAGUCUCCUUAUGGUCAGUAAAUGUUUGUGUUGACUACCGUUACAAGCGUACCUAAUCUUUCUUUUUUAUCACUACGGUUUUAUAUUAAACUAGUGUGGCGUAAUGUUACAACACCAAACGGUUUCUUGACUCGUUACCAAGUGUACCUAACGACUUUUAUAAUCAUUGUCUUACUGUUCACGUAGUAUUCUUGAUUUAUUAGACCUUGAAUAUAUAUAUAUAUAAAAUUUAAUACGUAAGUAACGACUUUUAUAACAAACUACAUACGUAGUGGAGAGAAGGUAAAUUGAUCUAAAGAUAUAGAAUAUGAUCCUACAGCUACGGCUACGAAGAGACCGACGAUGACUCCUACCGUCACUAGGAAAGUGGGUGGAUUUUAGUUUCUGCCCAACAAGAAGGGUAGCGAACAAAUAAAUACGAUACUUCAUUUGUCCAUGUUACUAGGAGAAAGCGAUUUGUACCCACAGACCUUGAAUUCCUUGUGAUCACCACCCUUUCGUCGACCUCCUUUGUUCUUUCGCGUCAUUGAUGAAAGGAUACCAUGAACAACGCACGAACAACGACUAACGUGUGGGAUACCACGAACUACGGCUAACGUUACCGUUGCGAAGUAGAGGCGUCCGCUAGGUUCGACACGAGCAGUAGAUGUGAUCACAAUUUUGAUAUAAGUCCGCACUGAUAUACGUACGGUAAACACAUUAUCUUAUAAAUAUCGUUUAUAGGUGAUAUUAAAUAAGAAAGCACAUCCGUGUACGGAAAAGAGAGAAAUUGUGUCAUGUAAUCAAUUCUUAAAAGU